rnacentral:rRNA from 1 species
UAACCUGCCCAAGAGAUCGGGAUAGCACCUGGAAACAGAUGCUAAUACCGGAUAACAACAGAUGAUGCCUAUCAACUGUUUAAAAGAUGGUUCUGCUAUCACUCUUGGAUGGACCUGCGGUGCAUUAGCUAGUUGGUAGGGUAACGGCCUACCAAGGCGAUGAUGCAUAGCCGAGUUGAGAGACUGAUCGGCCACAUUGGGACUGAGACACGGCCCAAACUCCUACGGGAGGCAGCAGGA